UACAGAGGUCCCAAGCGUUGUUCGGAAUUACUGGGCGUAAAGGGCUCGUAGGCGGCCAACUAAGUCGGAUGUGAAAUCCCCAGGCUCAACUUGGGAACUGCAUCCGAUACUGGAUGGCUUGAAUUCGGGAGAGGGAUGCAGAAUUCCAGGUGUAGCGGUGAAAUGCGUAGAUAUCUGGAGGAAUACCGGUGGCGAAGGCGGCAUCCUGGGACCGACAUUGACGCUGAGGCGCGAAGGCGUGGGGAGCGAACGGG
rnacentral:rRNA from 1 species